rnacentral:rRNA from 1 species
CAGCAGCCGCGGUAAUACGGAGGGUGCAAGCGUUAAUCGGAAUUACUGGGCGUAAAGCGCACGCAGGCGGUCUGUCAAGUCAGAUGUGAAAUCCCUGAGCUUAACUUAGGAAUUGCAUUCGAUACUGGGAAGCUAGAGUAUGGGAGAGGAUGGUAGAAUUCCAGGUGUAGCGGUGAAAUGCGUAGAGAUCUGGAGGAAUACCGAUGGCGAAGGCAGCCAUCUGGCCUAAUACUGACGCUGAGGUACGAAAGCAUGGGGAGCAAACAGGAUUAGAUACCCCUGUAGUCCCUGUCUCUUAUAC